AACAUGUCCUCCUCAGCUAAAUUAUCUGAUAUCAAUAAUUGCUAAUAUGAACUAAAUUAUCAGAUAUAUAUAAUCUAAAUGAAGUGUGUAGCACUGGUACCUAGGAAGGUAUGCCCGAUAGAGGACUGGGUUUCAUUCCUGUAAAACAUGGCGGAAUCCACGGAAUCAAAUCGUGGCAAAAAACGAAAAAAGCGACCUAUACUUUUAGAGGUGCUGGAAACAGCUCGAAAAAUACUGAGAAGAGAUGACCACGGGCAACCCUCUCCUUCUGCAUCAACUGGCACGGUUAUGAGAACUCGAGCCCCGGCAGUGUACCAUUUUUCGAAAGAUUCACGUACAGGACGACGCAAGACUCACUGC